rnacentral:misc_RNA from 1 species
AAAGUCGUAACAAGGUUUCCGUAGGUGAACCUGCGGAAGGAUCAUUAACAAAUCAUGAGCGAAAGCUCAAAAACCUUUGUGAAUAGGCUUGUCUUUAGCAAUAGAGACAAGUUCGUUGGGUCGAGGGGAGCGAAGAGUAGGUUAACGGAGGCUAGUUUACACUAACCAAAGUUAACUAAGUGAAUGACUACUUCUAACUGCGGUUAGACUUAGGCUUCCGCUCUAAGCAUUAUUAUAGUCUAAUUAUAGUUGGAUUUCGAAAGAUUUCUAAAAACUAAUACAACUUUUAACAAUGGAUCUCUAGGCUCUU